rnacentral:rRNA from 1 species
GAUGAACGCUGGCGGCGUGCCUAAUACAUGCCAGUCGAGCGAACAGACGAGGAGCUUGCUCCUCUGACGUUAGCGGCGGACGGGUGAGUAACACGUGGAUAACCUACCUAUAAGACUGGGAUGACUUCGGGAAACCGGAGCUAAUACCGGAUAAUAUAUUGAACCGCAUGGUUCAAUAGUGAAAGACGGUUUUGCUGUCACUUAUAGAUGGAUCCGCGCCGCAUUAGCUAGUUGGUAAGGUAACGGCUUACCAAGGCAACGAUGCGUAGCCGACCUGAGAGGGUGAUCGGCCACACUGGAACUGAGACACGGUCCAGACGCCUACGGGAGGCAGCAGUAGGGAAUCUUCCGCAAUGGGCGAAAGCCUGACGGAGCAACGCCGCGUCAGUGAUGAAGGUCUUCGGAUCGUAAAACUCUGUUAUUAGGGAAGAACAAAUGUGUAAGUAACUAUGCACGUCUUGACGGUACCUAAUCAGAAAGCCACGGCUAACUACGUG